rnacentral:rRNA from 2 species
GGAUGCGAUCAUACCAGCACUAAUGCACCGGAUCCCAUCAGAACUCCGCAGUUAAGCGUGCUUGGGCGAGAGUAGUACUAGGAUGGGUGACCUCCUGGGAAGUCCUCGUGUUGCACCCC